UACGUAGGUGGCAAGCGUUGUCCGGAAUUAUUGGGCGUAAAGCGCGCGCAGGCGGUCCUUUAAGUCUGCUGUGAAAGCCCACGGCUCAACCGUGGAGGGUCAUUGGAAACUGGGGGACUUGAGUACAGAAGAGAAGAGUGGAAUUCCACGUGUAGCGGUGAAAUGCGUAGAGAUGUGGAGGAACACCAGUGGCGAAGGCGACUCGUUGGUCUGUAACUGACGCUGAGGCGCGAAAGCGUGGGGAGCAAACAGG
rnacentral:rRNA from 1 species